ACUGUAUUACAAAAAGAGAUUCAGGUUUGUACUUGCAGUGUGCGUAAAAGCUCAGUAUUAAGAGUUGUGAGAUGUUUUUUUUGUCCGAAUUUCGUCUUGAUAUCAGUGCACUGUAGCUAAUCAUUAUCCCAGGUAAAGGGAAAUGUAGCUGUUUCUUAUCUCACAGCACACACAUUGACCGGCAAACAGACUGUGAUGUUAAACGUGGGUUGACUUUCACUUUAUUCUCUUUCUCUGUAGCUUGGUUUCGUGAACUUACUGGACUACCCAGAACCGGACGUGUGCCUAAGGACGUCCAAAUUCAAUAAAAUCUAACAGAAAACAUGACCAUUGGCUGGACAAUCCUGGACUUUGACAGACUGGCAGUUAAGAAAAUACAUGGCUCAGCUGUGUCUGCACAAGAGGAACAUCACCACCCCCUGUAACUAAAUGGAAAGAGCCAAACACCUCAAAACCUUCAUACAGAUUGGAAAUCCCUGUAUCUUGUACCAUAUUGAUAAUUCCCCCAAGCUGAUCUAUUCCAGAUGAUUUGUGAAGGAAGCUGAGCCAAGUGCCUCCCGCCCAGGGCAUAUGAAGAUUGGCGGGACUGGUCCAGGUUGGCUUUCUUUGCCACUGUUCUGUGAGUGCUACGUGCGCUACAAACCAGGUUGCCUGUGCCAGCAGCCGCUGAGAGGGAGCCAUCCGCCGUCACGCUGUGAGGAGAUAUGACCUAAAGAGCUCGGCUUCCCGACUGAAACGCCAAGCCCUUUGUUUAUGUAGGGUUGACAGCCAACCACAUUUAACAUGUUUGUGAAGAAUACUGAGGAGUCAAGGACUUGCAUUUGCUAUUUUGUAUGCAUGAAUUUUGUAUUAGUUUGUUGUAUAAGCAUAGACAUUGUUGGGGAUAUACAAUGGGUAGGCUAUGGUAUAUUGUGAUAACCUAGAAUGAAUAUUCUACCAAAAACGACAUAUUUGCCCCAAGUACUUAAAUCAAUCGUUUUUUUUUAUGAUCAAAUAAACAUAGUGAAUUAAAUCUAA